UACAGAGGUCCCGAGCGUUGUUCGGAUUCAUUGGGCGUAAAGGGUGCGUAGGCGGUCUUCUAAGUUUGAUGUGAAAUCCCGGGGCUCAACCCUGGAAUGGCAUUGAAUACUGGAGGACUAGAGUACCGGAGAGGAAACUGGAAUUUACGGUGUAGCAGUGAAAUGCGUAGAGAUCCGGAAGAACACCGGUGGCGAAGGCGGCCUGCUGGGCAGUGGCUGACGCUGAGGCGCGACAGCGUGGGGAGCAAACAGG
rnacentral:rRNA from 1 species